rnacentral:tRNA from 1 species
UCCCAGGUGGCUCAGAUGGCAAAGCGUCUGCCUGCAAUGCAGAAGACCCAGGUUCGAUUCCCGGGUUGGGAA